UGAAAAUGAAGUGAAUUGAGUCCGCACCACUUAGUUUUGAGGCAUCUCGCACAAAUUGACAAUAUCAUUCAGUUGUCAGUGCAAGUCGGUGCAAUUUUUAGAGUGUAAAAAAAGUUCACUGUUUACAUAAAAGCAAUCUCGAAUCGGUCCCACUUUUUUGCUUCAAGUUACUAUCCCCUGGUGAAGUUCUUAAGUCGGGGUAGCCUAAAACUAGAUCUUCGGUAAUAUUCACCUUCAAGAAUAUCGUUACCAUCUCACGUCAUUCGCGUGGGUAAAAUAAAGGAGUAUGUGUGUUGAUUGAUUGUUGUUGGACCUGUGGGAAAGCGCUUUUCGAUUUUUCCUCAAAUGUUCGUUUGGAGCGUUCCAUCAGAGAAAGCUUCAAUGUAUCCUUGCUAAAUUUGACACAGACAGACAUACAGAGGGCUCGUGUAGCUCGUGUUACAGUAGUCUUGCAAGGUUCGCCCGCAUAUCACUUUCUCUCUCCAACCACCGUUCGGAGCAAAAGUAGUUAUUAACAUUUGAAAUAUUCCAUAAGAAAGUAACAUGUCUUCUGAUUUGGCUCCCUCGAUGUAAAGCACAGUCCUAUGUCAAAAAUCCAACUAAUCGUUUUCUCGAAAAUUCGCAAAAACUUGUUCAAAGUUCCAAACCAAUCAUGCUCUGAAUUCACAAAAAUCUAGACUGCAUAAAAACAUCGCAACUUUGCGAAUUCCAAAUUUGAAAAGCGCCUGAAAGUAUGUAAUUAAUCUACACAUUAUUUUGCAUAUGUUCAGGCGCUUUGUUUGUUUGAAACUCACAAAGAUUCGAUGUUUUUAUGCAGCUUUUCUUUUCUUUUUUUUUACGCUUUUCUGGACUGUGGAUCACAUGUCAUUAGUCCGAUAUUCAUACACUUCUAACAACUUCACCAACGUCUUCUCUCUGGAAUAUAUUCAUAUGAUUAUGCAAUAGCUACAUUUUGUCUAUUUGUGAGGAAAUAACAAGCAAAACGAUAAAACAGAUAGGCGGACACUGUAGAGAAAACUAACAUCAGCUAAUCAUUUUGAGUGAUUGGAAAAAACUGUGCAAAUUUUGUGCUGAAUAGAACUAUUACUGUAAAAUGGAUCAAUGAUGAUUGUUUCAAGCCUUAUUCUGCAUGUUUAUGUGUUCAAUUUAGUCAUUUUUGUUUACUUGUUGACCUACGACGAAAACCGAAGCAAGAUGACGAAAGUGUUAUUUCAUGUCAAAUAUCAAUUCAUUCGAAUCCGAAAUAGCGUACUCCGCCGUACCCAAUAAAGCCCCGGUUCCUAGCGGUUGUAGAACAGGUUUCAAUAAUUUCUCUUGAAUGUGCAUUGAGUAUAACUAUUAUUUAUUAAAUUUGUUUUUUGCUACAUAAUCAGUAUGAUUAUUUUUUUUUUGUUUCCACUAUUGAUUUGCUUUUAUUAAACAUUAUUUCGUUCUAUUUCAUGGAUUUAGAGUCACGCGGUGAUUAUUUUCUCUGUAAUAAAUUUAAAGCGAUUUACAUUUUUACUAGCUCAUCUGUUUAACUCCCGUCUUCUCAUUCUCGGCCAUUGCGAAACCUUGGGUUCGCAAGCUAAACGACUUGUUAUGAGGGGUUACUUUUAUUACACAUAAGAGUUUAAAAAUAUGAAUAUACUGAAGAUAAUUUGCAAACAGUUAUUUUGUCUUAGCUGGCUGUAAUGAUGUUGUAUCUGAAUAGGUCCGUCAUUUGAAAACUGGCGGUGCCUCCACGUUUUGCGUGUGUUGAUCACUUCGUCCUUGUUGUCAAUUAUCAAAAUGCACGCAGCGCAACGCAACGCACCGUAUGUAUAACGCACCCACCCACACACACGAUUGCUUUUUGCUCACACACGUACAAACAAUACAGCGCUGCCGACGACGCGGGAGGUUUCUUCCGCGCGCUUAGAAACCGUGCACCUUCAGCUGGUCAGGCUUAGCGAGGCCCGACUUGGUCAGCCACUGGCAAAUGUUUUCACGCUGAUCGCCCUGCAGCUGGAGGACCUCGCCGUACUCGGGGUGCUCAAUUACAGUGCCAUUGCAUGCGAAUUCCUGCAAAUGGAAAACAAAAUUAAG